UUGAACGCUGGCGGCAUGCUUUACACAUGCAAGUCGAACGGCAGCGGGGGCUUCGGCCUGCCGGCGAGUGGCGAACGGGUGAGUAAUGCAUCGGAACGUACCCAGUCGUGGGGGAUAACUACGCGAAAGCGUAGCUAAUACCGCAUACGCCCUGAGGGGGAAAGCGGGGGACCUUCGGGCCUCGCGCGAUUGGAGCGGCUGAUGUCGGAUUAGCUAGUUGGUGGGGUAAAGGCCUACCAAGGCGACGAUCCGUAGCUGGUCUGAGAGGAUGAUCAGCCACACUGGGACUGAGACACGGCCCAGACUCCUACGGGAGGCAGCAGUGGGGAAUUUUGGACAAUGGGCGCAAGCCUGAUCCAGCCAUGCCGCGUGAGUGAAGAAGGCCUUCGGGUUGUAAAGCUCUUUCGGUUGGGAAGAAGGCAUUUGGGUGAAUAGCCUAGAUGUUUGACGUUACUGACAUAAGAAGCACCGGCUAACUCUGU
rnacentral:rRNA from 1 species